CCUACGGGAGGCAGCAGUAGGGAAUAUUGCUCAAUGGGGGAAACCCUGAAGCAGCAACGCCGCGUGGAGGAUGACGGUUUUCGGAUUGUAAACUCCUUUUGUUAGAGAAGAUAAUGACGGUAUCUAACGAAUAAGCACCGGCUAACUACGUGACAGCAGCCGCGGUAAUACGGAGGGUGCACGCGUUACUCGGAAUCACUGGGCGUAAAGAGCGCGUAGGCGGGAUAGCAAGUCAGAUGUGAAAUCCUAUGGCUUAACCAUAGAACUGCAUUUGAAAUUGUUAUUCUAGAGUAUGGGAGAGGUAGGUGGAAGUCUUGGUGUAGGGGUAAAAUCCGUAGAGAUCAAGAGGAAUACUCAUUGCGAAGGCGACCUGCUGGAACAUAACUGACGCUGAGGCGCGAAAGCGUGGGGAGCAAACAGGAUUAGAUACCCGAGUAGUC
rnacentral:rRNA from 1 species